CUGAAACAUCUAAGUACCCCGAGGAAAAGAAAUCAACCGAGAUUCCCCCAGUAGCGGCGAGCGAACGGGGAGCAGCCCAGAGCCUGAAUCAGUGUGUGUGUUAGUGGAAGCGUCUGGAAAGGCGCGCGAUACAGGGUGACAGCCCCGUACACAAAAAUGCACAUGCUGUGAGCUCGAUGAGUAGGGCGGGACACGUGGUAUCCUGUCUGAAUAUGGGGGGACCAUCCUCCAAGGCUAAAUACUCCUGACUGACCGAUAGUGAACCAG
rnacentral:rRNA from 1 species